rnacentral:ncRNA from 1 species
CGCCUGUCGGGACCCGAAAGAUGGUGAACUAUGCCUGAGCGGGGCGAAGCCAGAGGAAACUCUGGUGGAGGCUCGAAGCGAUCCGGACGUGCAAAUCGUUCGUCUGACUUGGGUAUAGGGGCGAAAGACUAAUCGAACCAUCUAGUAGCUGGUUCCCUCCGAAGUUUCCCUCAGGAUAGCUGGAGCCCAUUACGAGUUCUAUCAGG